rnacentral:snRNA from 1 species
GGAUGUGGGGUUUUUAGUGCCAAUACCAGGACAGCACUGAGCAUACUGGAUGGCUGGUUACCCUACUUGGCACUCAGAUAUUUGCUGAUGAUCCACCUGGCUAGGCAGGUAUCCCCUUCUUUCCUCACUGCUCCACAUAUGUCCCUCUUGAAGCUGCGCGCUUGGUUGAAGAGGAUGACCAUCCCCGCUAGGGAAGGACCGUUCUUCAGUCCAGGGUACAGAGUAGCUACACUCCCCUGCUGGAAUCCCAAACAAACUCUCAAAUAUUUGCUGAAUAAAAGACAAAUCUAAUUCCACUGAAUCUGUGAUACUUC